rnacentral:lncRNA from 1 species
CUACAGUUCUUUGUUUGACUCCGGGACUCAGGGACGGGGAGGAGGAGGGAGGGAGGCAGAGGCUGCAAGCGCCGGGGCAGGCCUAGGAGGCAGAGGAGGGACCGUCUCCCCCGCCCCCCAGCCCCACUCCCCCCCUGCUGCUUCCCCCCUCCCUACCCGGACUCUGGGGGCACCGCCGGGGGACAGACACCCAGCAGGUUCCCCCAGGCACCAUGCCAGCCCCAUAGCACUACCCACUCCACGACUUCUGCUGCACCCCACUGCUGGGGUGAUUGUUCCAAUGUGACUGAACACUUCAAACUCCAUCUGAAUUGGUUGUGGAAGGCCAGAGGCUGCCACCUGGAAACAGUGUGCACUCUUGUUAAGAGCAAUUGGAGCUGGACCAUCGUGCCAGAGAGCUGGGGCAGGGGGGUGUGCCCCAUCUCCAGGGCUCCUGGGGCCACUGCUGACCUGGUAAGGAAAAGAUUGGGGCUGGUUUAGCUGAAUAUACAGCUGGAAGUUUUGUCUUCCUGUUACAGCAAGAUCUC